rnacentral:rRNA from 1 species
GACGAACGCUGGCGGCGUGCUUAACACAUGCAAGUCGUACGGUAAGGCCCUUUCGGGGGUACACGAGUGGCGAACGGGUGAGUAACACGUGAGUAACCUGCCCACAACUUUGGGAUAACGCUAGGAAACUGGUGCUAAUACUGGAUAUGUGCUCCUGCUGCAUGGUGGGGGUUGGAAAGCUCCGGCGGUUGUGGAUGGACUCGCGGCCUAUCAGCUUGUUGGUGGGGUAGUGGCCUACCAAGGCGGCGACGGGUAGCCGGCCUGAGAGGGUGACCGGCCACAGUGGGACUGAGAUACGGCCCAGACUCCGACGGGAGGCAGCAGUGGGGAAUAUUGCACAAUGGGCGCAAGCCUGAUGCAGCAACGCCGCGUGCGGGAUGACGGCCUUCGGGUUGUAAACCGCUUUCAGCAGGGACGAAGCUUUUUGUGACGGUACCUGCAGAAGAAGCACCGGCUAACUACGUG